AGCCACUUCUUUCAGAGGCUCGGGUUGCCGAUAUCCCCCUUAGAAACCUGGGAGGUGUUUUUGAUUUUGUAAUCGACUCGCACGACUCCAUGAACGACUCCCGAAGUGCGAGUCCUACCCCGUCACUCAGCAACAGCUCAAUAUCAGGCCGUCAGCUGUGCAACGGUAUCACAAAAACAGGGAAGGUCUGUAAGAAGCGAGCCGUGCCAGGACAGGACUACUGCAGAGUCCAUGAGGGGGGGCUCACCUCCUAUGUUGCUAAAUGAGCACUGCAUUUUCUUUAGACUACAGAUGUUUUAAAUGCUUUAAAGUUUAACUGUUAAUUUUAUAUGUAAACAUAAUGUCAUAACCCAUGGAUCUGUCUGUAUUCAAAUAGAGCAACUUUUUUGAUAGUGCCUUCUCUAAAAAAGUUUUAUCAACUCUUAUUGUGAUGUUAUUG